GAAGGGAGCUGAGACCUGUGGAGCAAAAUUACUGAAUUCCAGAUAAAGAAGAUGUCCCAGAUGCUUCUAGAAACUAAGAACAACUCAGCAAGACAGGGACAGCAGAAGCCAGGGGGAAAUGUCCAGUGGCCUCCUGACCCAGGCUGCCCUUGCUUCACAUGUCAACACCAGGCUGAGCUCCUUGUUUGGGAGAUGAAAGAUGGAUUUCAGAAGAGACGCCUCAGCUCAGAACAAUCACUGUGGCCACAGCAUAACCCUCUGCACUUUGUGGGUUUAAUGGACUUUUCUCUCCAGUCCUCAAAAAGCAGCAACUGGCAUUUGCCUGAGCCUUGACUGAGGUGUGGAAAAUCUGUCAAGUUUUCUCUGCCGCUUACCCUAACCACAAUUAUACGGUCCAUAUGCAGAUUAGCUGCAAAGUCAUUCUUCCUGUGGGAGCGACAAGAUUUCCAAAUAAGAAAAGGUACCCACGGUACCCUCGAGUGCCCAUGUGCGUUAGCAAGGCAGGGGUGGGGUGGGAGGGUGUACGGAGCCGGGAGGGAAAUGCCUUCCAAAGGGCGUAACAACAGAAAAGGAGCUGUACCAGGGUGGUGACAUGGCAAGAACAGAGAGUGGUAUUGUCAUGGGCAGAGUAAUCCUGUGACACACUGCUGUCACUCAGCACCCGGCUCCCUGCUGCGCCAGCCAGACAUCAAAGGCUGCCCCAUACCAUCUUACAUGGUCUUUAUCGGCUAAUCAGCCCAUUCUUCCCCUAAAUAAAGCCCUGCUAAAUCCCCUGCUCACAGGGGCAUAGUGGUCCUGGUGCCCAUCUGCCCUUGCUUCACAUGUCAGCUGAAGCAGGAGGGUCAGCUGAAGCAGGCGGCGGUUCGCU